AAAAUCCAACACCAGCAGGGGAUUCUAGGAAGAGAAUGUUAGCAUCUGGAAGUUGUUCAAAAAUUGAACUAAUCUGGUUUCGAACCGGACCUUGACAGGUUUAGCUGUAGAAAUACUGAUUUCAAAGGAGCAUUCGCGGCUUUUACAAAAACUGAAAAGACUCACCAUUAUUCCAGGCGUAUUCAUUUCGAUACGGCGUUUUGCGGUCUCUGUUAACUCUGAGUGGCCCCAGUUCCAUCAUUGCUCCAUUGCCAAAAGAAAAGCAACCAGGCCUUGCCCAUCAAAGCCACAAUGCUCAGUAACAAAGAGUUACAGGUUCAGGAAAAU
rnacentral:misc_RNA from 1 species